rfam:Omnitrophica bacterium RIFCSPHIGHO2_02_FTLL_49_9 rifcsphigho2_02_scaffold_21567, whole genome shotgun sequence.
GGAAAGGUGCCGGAGCGGCCGAACGGGCGCGCUUGGAAAGCGCGUAGACUCGCAAGGGUCUCCAGGGUUCGAAUCCCUGCCUUUCCG